GAAUUCAAAGUGCAUUUCAUUUGAUGCCAUUUUGAUUUGUUCGCCAUGGAUUGUUUGAAUCUGAUUGUUCUGUUGUAGAUCCGAUUUGGCCACUAAAUUGCUUUCUGCCAUUGGUUUUGCUGUUGAAUUGUCUGCUGAAUUGCGUUGCAUUCAUCUUCUUCUUUUCCCCCCAUUUUUCAGCCGAAACCUUUGAUAUAUUUGGUACAUUAAUAUUUUAAAUUUUAAAUUUCUGAUUUAGGCUGAUGAAAGUAUCAUUGUUAUUUUUCACACAUUGAUUUGUUUUAUCUGUAGGAGAAAAAGGGCCAUGCAUCAGCACCUUGCUGGUUUAUCACUGCAGAGGAGCUUGACUCUCUGUCAUCUUCAACUUCUACAUCAGCAUGUUUCAACUAAGUAGAUACAGCCAAAGCUGCCCAACCAAUCUCGGGUUUCAAUUUUUCUGCAUUGCAGCUAUAUGAGGGGGAGGCUCACACUGGACAAGGGGACGCUUCUGUCAAUGACAUGGCAACAUAUGUAGAUGCUAAUGCCCAGCUUAUUGUAGCCCCCAAAAAUAAGUUGGCAGAAGAUACUUGGAAAAAGGCUCUAGAACUAAGAGACAUUGCAAUGACAGAAGCGCUAAAAUGAAAACAUUUUUCCUUGAAACUGAUAUGAAAGGUCCAGGACUGAAGCUUGACAACACUGGAAAAGCAAUUCUGACUGU